rnacentral:rRNA from 1 species
CCUACGGGAGGCAGCAGUGGGGGAUAUUGGACAAUGGGGGGAACCCUGAUCCAGCGACGCCGCGUGAGUGAAGAAGUAUUUCGGUAUGUAAAGCUCUGUCAGCAGGGAAGAAAGAAAUGACGGUACCUGACCAAGAAGCCCCGGCUAAAUACGGGCCAGCAGCCGCGGUAAUACGUAGGGGGCAAGCGUGAUCCGGAAUUACUGGGUGUAAAGGGAGAGUAGAGGGUUAAGUAAGUCUGGAGUGAAAGCCCUGGGCCCAACCCCGGGACUGCUUUGGAAACUGUGAAGCUGGAGGGCGGGAGGGGCAGGCGGAAUUCCUGGUGGAGCGGUGAAAUGCGUAGAUAUCAGGAGGAACACCGGCGGCGAAGGCGGCCUGCUGGACCGUAACUGACGUUGAGGCUCGAAAGCGUGGGGAGCAAACAGGAUUAGAUACCCUUGUAGUC